rnacentral:rRNA from 1 species
GCGUGUGUGAAGACGCCUUUCGGGGUGUAAAGCACUGUCAGGAGGGACGAAGAGUCCGGAGGUGAAGAGUCUCCGGGUGUGACGGUACCUCCAGAGGAAGCCCCGGCUAACUCCGUGCCAGCAGCCGCGGUAAGACGGAGGGGGCAAGCGUUGUUCGGAAUUACUGGGCGUAAAGCGCGCGUAGGCGGCCUCACAAGUGUGACGUGAAAGCCCUCGGCUCACCCGAGGAAGCGCGUCGCAAACUGUGGAGCUUGAGUGUCGGAGGGGGAUGCGGAAUUCCUGGUGGAGCGGUGAAAUGCGUAGAGAUCAGGAGGAACGUCGGUGGCGAAGGCGGCAUCCUGGACGAACACUGACGCUGAGGUGCGAGAGCGUGGGGAGCGAACGGGAUUAGAUACCCCGGUAGUCCACGCCGUAAACGGUGGGUACUAGGUGUGGGAGCCGCGAUGGUUUCCGUGCCGGAGCUAACGCAGUAAGUACCCCCGCCUGGGGAGUACGGUCGCAAAGGCU